rnacentral:rRNA from 1 species
GACGAACGCUGGCGGCGUGCCUAAUACAUGCAAGUAGAACGCACGGUUUAUACCGUAGCUUGCUACACCAUAGACUGUGAGUUGCGAACGGGUGAGUAACGCGUAGGUAACCUGCCUGGUAGCGGGGGAUAACUAUUGGAAACGAUAGCUAAUACCGCAUAAUGUUAAUUAUUGCAUGAUAAUUAAUUGAAAGGUGCAAUUGCACCACUACCAGAUGGACCUGCGUUGUAUUAGCUAGUAGGUGAGGUAACGGCUCACCUAGGCGACGAUACAUAGCCGACCUGGGAGGGUGGUCGGCCACACUGGGACUGAGACACGGCCCAGACUCCUACGGGAGGCAGCAGUAGGGAAUCUUCGGCAAUGGACGAAAGUCUGACCGAGCAACGCCGCGUGAGUGAAGAAGGUUUUCGGAUCGUAAAGCUCUGUUGUAAGAGAAGAACGGGUGUGAGAGUGGAAAGUUCACACUGUGACGGUAUCUUACCAGAAAGGGACGGCUAACUACGUG